GGGGUUGUGGCUCAGUGGUACAGCACUUGCCUAGCAUGUGUGAGGCCCUGGAUUCAAUCCUCAGCACCUCA
rnacentral:tRNA from 1 species